rnacentral:Y_RNA from 1 species
GGCUGGUCCAAGGGCAGUGGUGUUUACAACUAAUUGAUCACAACCAGUUACAGAUUCCUUUGUUCCUUUUCCACUCCCACUGCUUCCCUUGACUAGCCUAAA